rnacentral:rRNA from 1 species
CUACGGGCUGCUGCAGGCGAGAAAACUUUGCAAUGUGCGAAAGCACGACAAGGUUAAUCCGAGUGGUUUGUGCUAAACGAACCUUUUGACAGUCCUAGAAACACUGUUGAAUAAGGGGUGGGCAAGUUCUGGUGUCAGCCGCCGCGGUAAAACCAGCACCUCAAGUGGUCAGGAUGAUUAUUGGGCCUAAAGCAUCCGUAGCCGGCUCUGUUAGUUUUCGGUUAAAUCUGUACGCUUAACGUACAGGCUGCCGGGAAUACUGCAGAGCUAGGGAGUGGGAGAGGUAGACGGUACUCGAUAGGAAGGGGUAAAAUCCUUUGAUCUAUUGAUGACCACCUGUGGCGAAGGCGGUCUACCAGAACACGUCCGACGGUGAGGGAUGAAAGCUGGGGGAGCAAACCGGAUUAGAUACCCCGGUAGUC